rnacentral:misc_RNA from 1 species
AACACUGUUAACCUGCGGUACCUGCGGAGGGAUCAUUACCGAGUUUACAACUCCCAAACCCCUGUGAACAUACCUAUACGUUGCCUCGGCGGAUCAGCCCGCGCCCUGUAAAAAGGGACGGCCCGCCCGAGGACCCUAAACUCUGUUUUUAGUGGAACUUCUGAGUAAAACAAACAAAUAAAUCAAAACUUUCAGCAACGGAUCU